rnacentral:rRNA from 1 species
AGAGUUUGAUCCUGGCUCAGAGUGAACGCUGGCGGCAGGCCUAACACAUGCAAGUCGAACGGCAGCACAGGAGAGCUUGCUCUCUGGGUGGCGAGUGGCGGACGGGUGAGGAAUGCGUCGGAAUCUGCCUCUUUGUGGGGGAUAACGUAGGGAAACUUACGCUAAUACCGCAUACGACCUACGGGUGAGAGCCGGGGACCUUCGGGCCUGGCGCAGAGAGAUGAGCCGACGCCGGAUUAGCUAGUUGGCGGGGUAAAGGCCCACCAAGGCGACGAUCCGUAGCUGGUCUGAGAGGAUGAUCAGCCACACUGGAACUGAGACACGGUCCAGACUCCUACGGGAGGCAGCAGUGGGGAAUAUUGGACAAUGGGCGCAAGCCUGAUCCAGCCAUGCCGCGUGUGUGAAGAAGGCCUUCGGGUUGUAAAGCACUUUUGUCCGGAAAGAAAAGCCUGGGGCUAAUACCCUUGGGUUAUGACGGUACCGGAAGAAUAAGCACCGGCUAACUUCGUGCCAGCAGCCGCGGUAAUACGAAGGGUGCAAGCGUUACUCGGAAUUACUGGGCGUAAAGCGUGCGUAGGUGGUUUGUUAAGUCUGAUGUGAAAGCCCUGGGCUCAACCUGGGAACUGCAUUGGAUACUGGCUGACUAGAGUGCGGUAGAGGGGUGUGGAAUUCCCGGUGUAGCAGUGAAAUGCGUAGAUAUCGGGAGGAACAUCUGUGGCGAAGGCGACACCCUGGACCAGCACUGACACUGAGGCACGAAAGCGUGGGGAGCAAACAGGAUUAGAUACCCUGGUAGUCCACGCCCUAAACGAUGCGAACUGGAUGUUGGGAGCAACUUGGCUCUCAGUAUCGAAGCUAACGCGUUAAGUUCGCCGCCUGGGAAGUACGGUCGCAAGACUGAAACUCAAAGGAAUUGACGG